rnacentral:rRNA from 1 species
ACGGGUGAGUAACACGUAUGCAAACCCUGGCUGUAAGAAGGGGGAAUAAACCCGGAGAAAUCCGGACUAAUAACCGCAUAAUACUUAGAAUCCGCAUGGAUUUUAAGUUAAACAUUUAUGGCUUACAGAUGGGCAUGCGUAUGAUUAGCUGGUUGGAGAGGUAACGGCUCCCCAAGGCAACGAUCAUUAGGGGUUCGGAGAGGAAGGUCCCCCACACUGGUACUGAGACACGGACCAGACUCCUACGGGAGGCAGCAGUGAGGAAUAUUGGUCAAUGGACGCAAGUCUGAACCAAGCCAAGUCGCGUGAAGGAAGAAUGUCCUAUGGAUUGUAAACUUCUUUUGAAGGGAAUAAAGUACGGUACGUGUACCGUUUUGUAUGUACCCUUCGAAUAAGGAUCGGCUAACUCCGUGCCAGCCGCCGC